rnacentral:rRNA from 1 species
ACGGGGCCGCACAAGCGGUGGAGCAUGUUGGUUUAAUUCGAAGCAACGCGAAGAACCUUACCAGGUUCUUGACAUCCCGAUGCUAUUCUAGAGAUAGAAAGUUACUUCGGUACAUCGGUGACAGGUGGUGCAUGGUUGUCGUCAGCUCGUGUCGUGAGAUGUUGGGUUAAGUCCCGCAACGAGCGCAACCCCUAUUGUUAGUUGCCAUCAUUCAGUUGGGCACUCUAGCGAGACUGCCGGUAAUAAACCGGAGGAAGGUGGGGAUGACGUCAAAUCAUCAUGCCCCUUAUGACCUGGGCUACACACGUGCUACAAUGGUUGGUACAACGAGUUGCGAGUCGGUGACGGCGAGCUAAUCUCUUAAAGCCAAUCUCAGUUCGGAUUGUAGGCUGCAACUCGCCUACAUGAAGUCGGAAUCGCUAGUAAUCGCAGAUCAGCUAUGCUGCGGUGAAUACGUUCCCGGGUCUU